rnacentral:lncRNA from 1 species
UGGAAUUUUCGUUUUGAAAUAUGAUUGUGUUAGAUUGUAUGAUACUAUGCAUGCUGGUUUUAGUUUAAUUUUUUUAUUUAUUUAUGUGUUUGGUGGUGAUGUCCCAUCCCUACAAAAAGAAUAUCAUUAUUAUUUUAUUUUAUUUUUUGUUAGAAGAAUACUGUAGUAUCAUUAAGGGCCUGACUGGUUCAACCGCAGCGGUUGCGGUUGCGGUUGCGGGAGUUUGCGGAUGCGGGUGGUUGCGGUUUCUAGCGGUUUUAAGAGAUUUGUACGACUGGUUCUGCGGUUAGAAAUUGGUGCGUUUGCGGGAUACUUAUGACUGGUUAACUACCAAAUGCUGCAGCGGUUAAAUAAUAAAUUAACAAUAUUUACAUUUUAUACAAUUAUAAAAAUAUCAAAAAUAAUAAUAUUAUAAUAAAUAUAAAAUUUAUAUUUAGAAAGUUAUAGUUUAAAUUUCAAUUUAUAUUUUUUUUUAUUUUUGUAUUUAUUAUAAUGUUUUGGAAAAAAAAUAAUUUUUUUUAUCCUUCUGCAAACGCCCGCAACCGCAAACGCUAGCUGGAACCAGAUUUUGAAUUUAUGAAGUUCAGAGCGAUUUGGAGCGAUUUAGAGCGGUUUAGAGCGGUUUGAGCGAUUGUUGCAAAACGCCAGCAACCGCUAUCAACCGCAAAAGCUGCGUUUGCGGGUGGUAGCGGGAAAACCAGUCAUACCCUAAUUGUAUGCAUCCUUAACGUAAAGUACUAUAUGUAUACAGUAGUUUUAGAAACCUAAACACGGACAGAAAUUUUUUGGUAAUGAUUAUGGGUCCAUUUUUAGCUAAAGACAUUUGAUCCAGACCCAAAAAUUCGAAUUGAAACUGAUCUAAAAGUAUCUAAUCUAAAACCAAACUAAAAAUUUAUAAGUACCUAACUGGAUCUAAAAUUUUUC